AAAAAUAACCAACCACUCUGUGUGAGCUCUGUAUAAAACAGGAUGGCUCAAAUGAGGGCCAAGCUGAGGAACAAUACCUUAUCUAGUGAGAACCAAUGCUGUCAUGGGCUCGUCUGUAAAAUAUACAGCGAGCGAAGAAGGAAAAUAUUAAAGAAAGGCUUGAACCGACUCUCGGAGAUCAAGUCCGUAGUGAAAUCCAUGGGCCAAACAACACAGCUGAUGCCCUUUAAUGGGCCUUCAGUUCUGUAUUAUCAUUUUUUAUUUGUGUUACUUUGGUUGAUUGCAUAUUUUUGUAAGACUGAUCUCACAUCCAUUGUGCGGCUGAGACAGGGAAGUGUUUCUCUGCUGUAACUUGAGUUAUAGGCACAGAAUGCUAGGAUUUAGGGAUUCAGCCCCAGCAGACACCCUCAGUCCUCAUCAGUGAGCCCUGGGGACACUGGGAUUUCCUGCAUUUUUCUCUUUGAAUGACACCACUUCUCAGAAUAACUGAGCAGUCCCCAGGGACAUAAGCACAAGUGGCAGAUCGCAAUACGAGGCAAGGCAAGGCGUGAGCUGGGGUUCACCAUCCCAGUCAUCACAAAGGCUUUACAGCAUCACCUGAUGAUCUGAUAAGGAGCACCUCGCUCCCAAGACGAGCAGAGUGAAUGAGCAGAGGUGACAGGCCUCCCUCCAGGCCGGGGCUUCUGCGCGUCCUUCCUGCAAUGCCACCAUGAUUAAGGGCACCACCAGGGCCAAGCUCCGCUGUGCAACUUCAUGGCUGAGUCACCUGGAACAUACUACAUUCUCUCUGAGCUGACGCAGCUAAACACAAACUGUGGUACCUGGGGCAUAUGGAAAGAGAACACAGAUCGUGUAAAGUCUAUGAUUAUUGUCACUAAUGUACAUUUUCUGACAUUCUGGAAACAUCCGUGGGCCUUCGGCACACUCUGCAGGACACUGGAAUGAAUCCUGGCUUGCUGUUGGGCUGUGGAUGGUGAAGAAUGGAACCUCGGGGCUCAUGGCUGCUGUGCCACGGGCUCUCUAGGUGGAGUCCUGCUCUGAGUCAGCCCAUAGGAUUCUGCCUAGGUUUGGGAGUUAAGGGAAGGAUGGAGAGGAUAUUUAAAUCAGGGCCAAAGCCAAGGAAGACAAAGCACAUUCCAUCUCCGAUGUGAUGAGGCCCAAGGAUCCAAAAUAUUGCACAUUUACAAGAAAAUGCCCUGUGGUGGAGGCUUUCACCAACGUACUCAACGCAUACUGACUCAAACUGAUUGUCCUUAAUACUGAGCUGCAAUAGAGAGAAAAACUCCAUCUGCCCGGUGAGAAAAGCAAAAUGAAAACGUAGCACCCUGUCUGGAUGACACUGUGUCUCAGGGAGUCAUCACUGUCACCAGGCGAAUCCAGGUCUUGCCAAGUGGCCUCCUGGCGUCAUCACGGAUGUUUUGGCAGAUUUUCCAGGGAAGUGUCCAGAAAGAAACAUGGGGGUAUGAGUUCCAAUUAAGUCUGAAUUUCUGCUCAGAUUAAACACCCACACAGUUCUCACUCCGGGGAAAGGCCCAGUUUC
ensembl:lncRNA